GAUCAUGGCUCAGGAUGAACGCUAGCGACAGGCUUAACACAUGCAAGUCGAGGGGCAGCACAGGUAGCAAUACCGGGUGGCGACCGGCGCACGGGUGAGUAACGCGUAUGCAACUUGCCUAUCAGAGGGGGAUAACCCGGCGAAAGUCGGACUAAUACCGCAUGAAGCAGGGGCCCCGCAUGGGGGUAUUUGCUAAAGAUUCAUCGCUGAUAGAUAGGCAUGCGUUCCAUUAGG
rnacentral:rRNA from 1 species